rnacentral:rRNA from 1 species
CGAAAGCAUCUGCCAAGGAUGUUUUCAUUAAUCAAGAACGAAAGUUAGGGGAUCGAAGACGAUCAGAUACCGUCGUAGUCUUAACCAUAAACGAUGCCGACCAGCGAUUAGGAGACGUUGAAUACAAAACACCACCAUCGGCGCGGUCGUCCUUGGCGUUCGUGUUCACGCACGAGCGCGAGGGCGGUUUAGCCCGAUGGCACCGGUGAAUGACUCCCCUAGCAGCUUGUGAGAA